CAUGUUCUAAGAGGUGAUAGAUUUGUUUCCGUGUAUAACACAAUGUGAACCUACCAGUCUGCAACUUUCACCUGUAUCCACACUAGGUGCACCAGUCGACAGUAAACUCAGGUUUUGGGGAUUCAACUCGAUCCGGAGUCAGGUGGAUAGAAGAUCCUGCAUCCACUUUGUCAAUUUAACUGCAAAACAGAGAUCUGGGGAAGAGAGAUACGAUGACCCAUUCCCCUGACUUAUCUGGUCUGGGGAUCAUUCAGCUGGGGAAGACUGGAGCAGGGAUGAGUGCAACAGGAAACACCAAAGAGGUGUUUAUAGAAGAGUUCUCUUCGGAGUCUGUGACUACACAAUGUGAGGAUGUCCAGAGGAUGAAGAGUACAGCUUGGGACACUACUGAAACAGCAGGAGGAGUAGCAGCAGGAGGUGCAGCAGGACGAGGUGCAGCAGCAGCAGGAGUAUCAGGAAAAGUAGCAGCAGGAGAAGGGGGAGUAGCAGGAGGAGGUGCAGCAGGAGUAGCAGGAAAAGUAGGAGGAAAAGUAGCAGCAGGAGAAGGGGGAGUAGCAACAGCAGCAGCAGGAAAAGUAGCAGCAGGAGGUGCAGCAGGAGGUGGUGCAGGAGCAGCAACAGGAGCAGGAGUAACAGAAGGUGUACUAGCAGCAGUACUAGGAGGAGUAGCAGGAGCAGUAGUGGUACUAGCUUUGGGAAUACCUGCAGGAAUAGCAGGAGCAGGAGUAGCAGCAUUUGCAGGAGUAGCAUUUGGAGAGAUUUUUAAAAUAAACGUACACCGAAAUUGACAAAAGGCGGGUGGAAAAGAGAACGCCUCGAAAAAGGUAGUACAGAUCUGGUUAACAGCAACAAUUAAACUACAUGAGAGUAUAUCAUUUUCAGAAUUGUGUGUUUGUUUCACUAGUUAAGACUAAUGUAAAAUGUGUGUGUUCAAAUUAUAAAACAAAUUUACAUCAAUAUACCUUUAUGGAAGGAACUUAUGUACUUUUAAAAAUCAGUCUAUCCCACUUAUUUAUCAUUGCAAUGUGAAUAAAUGUUACUAUCAUGUUUGUGUAGUGAAACAUGGGUAAUUUCAUGGUGUUUUUAAAAUAAUCAAUGAAGGAUAUCACUGA